GUUAGGAAUAUUGGACAAUGGGCGAAAGCCUGAUCCUGCCAUGCCGCGUGAACGAUGAAGGCCUUCGGGUUGUAAAGUUCUUUAGCCGAUGAUUAUAAUGACUGUAGUCGGAAAAUAAGCCCCGGCUAACUUCGUGCCAGCAGCCGCGGUAAUACGAAGGGGGCGAGCGUUAUUCGGAAUCACUGGGCGUAAAGCGUGCGUAGGCGGUUUUGUAAGUUAGGAGUGAAAGCCCAGGGCUCAACCUUGGAAUUGCUCUUAAAACUGCAAGGCUCGAAUCUCGGAGAGGAUAGCGGAAUUUCCAGUGUAGCAGUGAAAUGCGUAGAUAUUGGAAGGAACACCAGUGGCGUAAGCGGCUAUCUGGACGAGUAUUGACGCUGAGGCACGAAAGCGUGGGGAUCAAACAGGAUUAGAUACCCUGGUAGUCC
rnacentral:rRNA from 1 species